rnacentral:tRNA from 1 species
GUCCGGGUGGCUCAGUCGGUUGAGCGUCUGACUUCAGCCCAGGUCAUGAUCUCGUGCUCGUGGGUUCAAGCCCCAUGCCGGGCU